UACGGGGGGAGCAAGCGUUGUUCGGAUUUACUGGGCGUAAAGGGCGCGUAGGCGGCCACCGCAAGUCAAUUGUGAAAUCUCCGGGCUUAACUCGGAAAGGUCAACUGAUACUGCGGGGCUAGAGUGCGGAAGGGGCAACUGGAAUUCUCGGUGUAGCGGUGAAAUGCGUAGAUAUCUGGAGGAAUACCGGUGGCGAAGGCGGCAUCCUGGACCAUUACUGACGCUGAGGCGCGAAAGCUAGGGGAGCAAACGGG
rnacentral:rRNA from 1 species